CAAUUAAUGCUCAGAGAGAGUUCGGUCGCUCAAAUUGAACUUGCUGGCAGGAUGUGCUACACAUGCAAGUCAGAACGGCAGCACGGGCUUGGUCACAGUGGCGAGUGGCGAACAGGUGAGUAAUGUAUCAGAACGUGCCUAGUGGCGAGAUAACUACGCGGCGCAGCGUAAUACGCAUACGCCCUUCGGGGGAAAGCGAGGGGGACCUUCAGGCCUCGCACUAUUGAAACGGCCGAUAUCGGAUUAGCCUGGUGGUGGGGUAGCGGCUCACCAAGGCGACGAUCCGUAGCUGGUUUGAAGGACGACUUCAGCCUGGGACUGAAGUUACGGCCAGACUCUACAGGAAGGCAGCGUGAUGAGGAAUUUUGGACAAUGGGGAAACCCUGAUCCAACCAUCCCGCGUGUGCGAUGAAGGCCUUCGGGUUGUAAGCACUUUUGGCAGAAAGAAACGGCACGGGAUAAUACCCCCCGUGCAACUGACGGUACCUGCAGAAUAAGCACCGGCUAACUGCAUUUAGCCGCGGUAGCCCGUAAAGUGCAAGCGUUAAUCAGAUUACUGGGCGUAAAGCGUCCGCAGGCGGUUCGGAAAGAAGUCUUGAAAUCCCGGAGGCUUAGCUUUGGAACUGCAUUUUAACUACCGAGCUAGAGUGUGUCAGAGGGAGGGUGAAUUCCGCGUGUGGCAGUGAAAUGCGUAGAUAUGCGGAGGAGGCACCGAUGGCGAAGGCAGCCUCCUGGGAUAACACUGACGCUCAUGCGAAAGCGUGGGGAGCAAACAGGAUUAGAUACCCUGGUAGUCCACGCCCUAAACGUGUCAACCCAGCUGUUGGGGCCUUCGGGCCUUGGUAGCGCAGCCAACGCGUGAAGUUGACCGCCUGGAAUGCAGUCGCAAGAUUAAAACUCAAAGAAAAUUGACAGGGACCACACAGCAGUGGAUGAUGGAUUAAUUCGAUGCAACGCAAAACCUUACCUACCCUUGACAUGUCUGGAAUCCCGAAGAGAUUUGGGAGUGCUCGCAAAGAGAACCGGAACACAGGUGCUGCAUGGCUGUCGUCGACUCGUGUCGUGAGAUGUUGGGUUAAGUCCCGCAACAGCGCAACCCUUGUCAUUAGUUGCUACGAAAGGGCACUCUAAUGAGACUGCCGGUGACAAACCGGAGGAAGGUGGGGAUGACGUCAGGUACUCUUGGCCCUUAUGGGUAGGGCUUCCACGUCAUACAAUGGCCAGGACAGAGGGUCGCCAACCCGCGAGGAGCCAAUCCCAGGAAACCCGAUCGUAGUCCGGAUCGCAGUCUGCAACUCAAACUGCGUGAAGUCGGAAUCGCUAGUAAUGGAUCGGCAUGUCAUGAUGAAUACGUUCAGGUCUUGUACACACCGCCCCGUCACACCAUGGGAGUGGGUUUACCAGAAGUAGUUAGCCUAACCGUAAGGAGGCAGUUACCACGGUAGGGAUUCAUGACUGGGGUGAAGUCAUCGCUGGGUAG
rnacentral:rRNA from 1 species